GUGCUUGCUUCGGCAGCACAUACACUAAAACUGAAGCAUGCAAAAGAUGAGCAAGGCCCCUGCGCAAGGAUUAAAAAAAACAGUGGCCAGGCGUAGUGGCUCAUG
rnacentral:snRNA from 10 species